rnacentral:rRNA from 1 species
CCUACGGGAGGCAGCAGUGGGGAAUAUUGGACAAUGGGCGGAAGCCUGAUCCAGCCAUGCCGCGUGUGUGAAGAAGGCCUUUUGGUUGUAAAGCACUUUAAGCGAGGAGGAGGCUACUUAGAUUAAUACUCUAGGAUAGUGGACGUUACUCGCAGAAUAAGCACCGGCUAACUCUGUGCCAGCAGCCGCGGUAAUACAGAGGGUGCGAGCGUUAAUCGGAUUUACUGGGCGUAAAGCGUGCGUAGGCGGCUGAUUAAGUCGGAUGUGAAAUCCCUGAGCUUAACUUAGGAAUUGCAUUCGAUACUGGUCAGCUAGAGUAUGGGAGAGGAUGGUAGAAUUCCAGGUGUAGCGGUGAAAUGCGUAGAGAUCUGGAGGAAUACCGAUGGCGAAGGCAGCCAUCUGGCCUAAUACUGACGCUGAGGUACAAAAGCAUGGGGAGCAAACAGGAUUAGAUACCCUGGUAGUCCAUGCCGUAAACGAUGUCUACUAGCCGUUGGGGCCUUUGAGGCUUUAGUGGCGCAGCUAACGCGAUAAGUAGACCGCCUGGGGAGUACGGUCGCAAGACUAAAACUCAAAUGAAUUGACGG